GGCACUUUGGCGGAGUGGUUAACGCGAUGCCCUGCUAAGGCAUUUCCCUUGGGAGCGUGUGUUCGAAUCACACAGGUGUCG
rnacentral:tRNA from 1 species